AUGAACGCUAGCGGCAGGCUUAAUACAUGCAAGUUGAGGGGCAGCAUGAUAUACGCGAGUAUAUUGAUGGCGACCGGCGGACGGGUGAGUAAUAGGUAGGAGACCUACCUCAUACAGGGGGAUAGCAUAGAGAAAUCUGUGGUAAUACCCCAUGAGGUUAUAUGAAUAGAGGCAUAUAAUCAAAGCAUAAGCGAUUAUGCGGUAUGAGAGGGGCCUACUGACCACUAGCUAGUUGGUGAGGUAAGGGCUCACCAAGGCGAAGAUGGUUAGGGGUUUUGAGUAGAGAGACUCCCCACAUUGGAACUGAGAGACGGUCCAGACUCCUACGGGAGGCAGCAGUAGGGAAUAUUGGGCAAUGGGCGAAAGCCUGACCCAGCCAUGCCGCGUGAAGGAAGACGGCCUUAUGGGUUGUAAACUUCUUUACUACGCGAAUAGAGGUUAGUACGAGAUACUAAUAGGAAGGUAGUGUAGUAAAAAGCACCGGCUAACUCCGUG
rnacentral:rRNA from 1 species